rnacentral:rRNA from 1 species
ACUAGAUCGGCAUCGAACUAGUAUUAAAGGAGCGAAUGCUCCGCUACUGGAUGGACUCGCGGUGCAUUAGCUAGUUGGUGAGGUAGAGGCUCACCAAGGCGAUGAUGCAUAGCCCGACCUGAGAGGGUGAACGGCCACAUUGGGACUGAGACACGGCCCAGACUCCUACGGGAGGCAGCAGUAGGGAAUUUUCGUCAAUGGGGAAACCCUGAACGAGCAAUGCCGCGUGAGUGAAGAAGGAUUUCGGUCU